ensembl:lncRNA
GGGACAUAUGGCAUUUGGUAAACACUUCACUUGGACACCUUUUAGCAAUCAUCCUUAACUGGAGAGAAUAUAAAUCCCUUUGUAAACUGGAAAGGGUAUUUCUUCACUAGGAUCAUCUUAAAUACUUAAGACAUCUCUUAAAUCUCUCUUUGAAAGCAAUAAAAGUCCUAGUUCUACAAAUUUGAACAAGACAUAAUAAUUGAUGACUUUUCUCUCAUUUGUAUUCCAGGUGUCUUGCCUCCACAGUUAGAAAAAACAAGCUGGAAUAAUUCCACCUGGUUCUUGGACUCUCUGAAGUUACUUCGUGUGAAUGAGUCUUGAGUUUGUCACCCUGUAAAUAGCCGUGUAUAUUGUAGUUGUAGGUACUUCUGGUCCUGCUAUGUGGGGAGCUGCUUCAGCAUGGCUUGCGGUGCCAGGUCUGUGCCAAGGAUCUGAACUGGCAAAAUCCUGGGCCACAUAAGUGGAGGGCCCAAAAUGAACCACUCACACAUGGACCCGGCCCCGGAUGAUCUUUAUAUCAUGUAGAGAAAAUACUGGGAAGGACCUUGAAGUGAGGUUCUUUAUUUUGUAUUUGUGUGAAAUAUGAGGGUUAAUAAUUUCAUGAAUGUCAAACAAAGAAAGAGUGUAAUUCUAGUUUUAGUUUUAUGUUUUGUAUCAUUUUGAUGAGAUUAUUUUGUGAGUAUAUCAUCCUGUAAUUUAGCGUCACUUGUCAGUUUCUUUGCAUCUUUGUUUUUAUAAAUGACUAAAAUUAGUUCUCAUAAAAUAGGGUGCCUUUAUUUCUCAUUAAAUGAAUUUUGUCAAGAAAGGCCUGGGAAUUUGUUAUAUACUGUUUUCUGAAACAAGCUUUGGUUCACUGAUUUAUGUUACUAGGACUUUCCGUUAAUAAAAUUAUAUUGUUUUUAAAAAAGGAUAUUUCCUAAGACACCAAAAUGGGAUUUGAUAAAAUUUAGUUUUAACUAUGAUUAAAAUGCAGCAAACUAAAAGUAAAAUGAAAUUAUUUAAUUUUUUAACUUGGUCAAAGGAUAUGUUCCAGAAACCUACUUGUAAAUUAACUGAAUUAAAUUAACUGACUUGGAAAUUUAUGGAUUAAUUUCCGUUAAAUUCAGCAAUAAGACAAAGCCACUUUUUACACUGCUAUUAUUAUAUAUUUCACUGAUGGUCAUAAUGCAGAGUUCUUAAUCUCAUGUAACUACUGUGGCAAGAAAGACAAAACAAGUGAUAAAAGCCAAAUUGUGCAAAACAUUUAAGAGAUUUUCAACCUCUGGAAAAGAAGCAAACCCUGCCCCCAAAAGGCUGUGCCAUGACGUAGCUCUAGUCUCUUCUUGCCUUGUUGGGAGUGUUUCCAAAUUUAACUCAGAUUUCAAGAGAAAUCAGCAUCCAUAUUUUAUAUGAAAUUUAAUGAUUUUAAUAUGUUGAUGUCUAAUUAUGUUUUUAAAACACUAUGAUAAGUACAAGUUUUGGAUCAAACAAACUUACAAGUUUCCAGUGCAGUUUGGUCCAGGGGUUGUCUCUUUGGAAAUUCUUUGUCAACCAAUGAAAUAAUGGUAAAAAGAAAUAAUAAUCAAAACUGAAAAUGAGAUAACAAUGCAAUAUUGGCUGACAUGUUCAUAUACUUAGAAAAACCAAGACAAUCAAUUGAUGAAUUUUAAUGUUUAUUUAAAAAAAUUUAGUCAAAAAUGGGCAUGAUGACACUUUCAAAUACAAUUACAAUAAAUAGUUAUGAAAUAAAAUAUCUGCUCCAUAGUAACAAUAUUGCUACAAAGAACAUAGGAAAAGUGUGUGCAGUCUUUAUGAGGAAUACUAAACAUCUUCUCAAAAGGCACACAACUUAAUAAAGACUUAUAGAAUUCAUCAUGGAAAGAUACCAUAUUUUAAAGUCGUUAACUUUCCUAAUUAAUAAACAAAUUGAGUGAAAUCACAAUAAAAAUUUCAACAAGAUUUUUUUUCAUGGAAACUAAGAAAAUGAUUCUAAACUCCACAUAGUUGAAUAUGUUAUAUGUGAAUAAUCAAAACCUCUUUUUUCAUUUGUGGAGGAGGAGGAAGAAGAAGCAAGAACAAAUACAUCAUAAAGCCAUGGUAAUUUUGAAACAGGAUAUACCCACAGAAUAGGCAAAUAUGUUAAUACUACAGAGUAUUGAGCCUAGAAAUUCAGCCACGUCUAUUUGGCAAUACAAUAUAUGAUGAAGCUGGAAGUUUUAUCAAUGUGCAAAUAAAAUUUAUUAUGAUAAAUGACUAUCAAUUUGAAAACAAAUCUUGGAAGCUAUCUCACAAAGUUGAUAGAAAAACAUUUUGUGACAGAAUUUUAUGCGUAUGGGAUACAUGAAAAACAAAGAGAGAAAGGAUGCAGAAUAAGCUAAAAAUAUCUCUAAAAUCCAAUUACAAUGAGAGUGGGGACACAGGAGAUGGUGAUGCAAGUAGAAGUGACGUUUAAAGUUGAUUAUGUACUCACUUGUAAUGUUUUCACUUUUUAAGUAAGGAAAGUGCAUUAAUUUUCAUUUCUGUAAUUAAUUAACAUUUAUAAAUAAUAUAAAGUAGACGAUAUAUAUGUAUUUGAAGAAAACAUAGUGCUUAACAUUUCUGGACAUAAUGGAGUAACUGGAUUUUCCUAUUGCUGUAAGUAACUAAAAUCUUGACAAAAUAUGUGAAACAAUGCUUUUCAAUAUUGGCCAACAGGCAAUAUAGUACUGGGAUCCCUUAGGGAAAGGAAACAAAUCCAGUGGGCUCUGGGGUAAACACAGGCUUCUGCUAGAUAUCAUUCUGGACCAAGGAGCAGGAAAGGAGACUCCCAGCAAGGCACCCACAGUUCUCACUGAGAUGAAGAUGAAGAUCAGAGUUCAGGGUGACUUAAAAGGCUGUUCUCUGUGAAGGAGAGCACUGGAGCAGAAGGAGCUAUGCAGAGAAAAAAAAUCCAGCUGUCUUCAAAGAGCCCUGUGCAAUCUUAGCCAGUAGUUCAAUACUAAGAAUACUAAGAUGUGGUGGGGGGAGUGCAACUCCACAAGAAAGAGUACAGAAAUCACAGAGUUGUUUUUCUGACAAGAGCAAUGGUUUCAGGGACAGGGACUUUAUCCAAAUAGAAUGCAAUCUCAGUGUGUGCCUUUGUUGGAAUUACUGGGUAAAACGUCCUUUCUAUCCUGAGGGAGUUAUUAAGUAGGCGUUUUUAUUUUUUAUUUUUUUAUCUUUUUAAGGAAUUAAAGAGUUAUUUAUAAUGUGACAGUGAUAAUAUAUAAAGAGUUUUUACAAAUCAAUAAAAAGAACACUCCAAUAGAAAAAUGGACAAAGGACACAAAAUCAAUUGAGAAAUAUAUAAAUGGUCAAUAAACAUUUUAAAAAUCAUUUUUACACAUUUAAAAAUCAACCUCAAUAAUAAUUAAUUAAUGCAAAUUAAGACAAGGAAAUGCCGUUUUAAUACUGCAUGUCAGGCUAGAAGACCAGGGUACACUUAGGACACAGGACACUAGUAUUAUUCCUUAGCUAGGCUGUACUUAUAUGAACACCAUCAUUCUAGUUUCUGCGAUUGGGGUGGGAUGCAGAAAGGAGGAGGGAGAGAGAUCUCUGCGGUAUCCCACAGAAUCUAUUAUUGGCUUCAUCUGCUAGGGUCCUACACAGCCUCUUAGUCAGCCAGCUUUUGAAGUGACUGGUGCCAAAAUUACUUCAACACUAAACCCAUUGUCUGUUGACAGCCUAGUGAUGAUUUUCUUUAGGAUCCUAGAGGUUCUCCGGUAUAAGAAGCCUCACACCUCAGUACAAAGAUAGAAGAACUGAAAAUGGCUCCCUUCACUGCAGAAAUCAUAAAAUUAUUUUAGAAGGCUUUCUUAGAUGUUUUAUGAAGUUACUUUGUAAUUUUUAUUUCCUGAACCAAAGAUUAAUUUUCACACUUCCUUUCCUUCCUCUUACUUUCCCUUUCUGUCACCACUCCUUCCUAAAGUCAGUCUCUGCCCAAUUCCCUUUGAAAUUUUCUCUGUUUACAGAUAGAGUUUAAUGGUACAAACUUAUCUCCAUAAAAUUUAUCUCUUAUGUGAGUGAAGGAAAAUGUUUCUCAAAUUGGAAUAAUGUACCAUGCCCACCUAAAUGAAAAUAGAUUCUGUUGAAGUCCAGUGUUAAUACAAAUUAUUUAUGAAUUAACAUUUCUUAUGUAAAAAGUUGUUAAAACUGAAACGUUGACCAGGCACAAGAGAUGUGAGAUGGCAAAGUGUGUCUGAAUCACCUAUGCCUAACUCUAAACCAAAGGAAAUGAUAAAGGUAAGUCUCCCACAAUUAUAUAAAGGAUAUAAACCUGGUCAGAGUAUAAAGUGGGAGAGUGUUUUGUGAGAACAGUUUUGUGGAAAUUACUGUAGAGAUAUGUCUGCCCCUCACCCCAAACUUAAUGUGUGUGUGUGUGUGUGUGUGUGCAUGUGUGUGUGUCCAUAAUGGAGGGGGACUUCAGAGCAUUAUUCUGAGAACUUGGAAUGAGACCUUCUAUAUUGGUGGGCUCAAGGGACUGAGAUCAGAAGGUCUAGGCAAGAAGAGAGACUAGCUCACUUACUGGUGGAAUCAGGCGAGGGUGCCUGGUCAAGAUCAGCCCACAUUAACAGUGUUUCUACAUUAAUAACAUUUCUUAGGGGCAGAGAUUCAUAGGUGUUUCUCCAUGGACAGCC